rnacentral:miRNA from 1 species
UCAUUCCCUAUGCCUGGAGUGC